UACGGGGGGGGCAAGCGUUGUUCGGAAUUACUGGGCGUAAAGGGCUCGUAGGUGGCCAACUAAGUCAGACGUGAAAUCCCUCGGCUUAACCGGGGAACUGCGUCUGAUACUGGAUGGCUUGAGUUUGGGAGAGGGAUGCGGAAUUCCAGGUGUAGCGGUGAAAUGCGUAGAUAUCUGGAGGAACACCGGUGGCGAAGGCGGCGCCCUGGCUCGACACUGACGCUCAGACACGACAGCAUGGGGAGCGAACGGG
rnacentral:rRNA from 1 species